rnacentral:rRNA from 1 species
AGAAUCAACGCUGGCGGCGUGCCUAACACAUGCAAGUCGCACGAGAAAGGGACUUCGGUCCUGAGUAAAGUGGCGCACGGGUGAGUAACACGUGAAUCAUCUACCUCCGAGUGGGGAAUAACCUAGAGAAAUCUGGGCUAAUACCGCAUAACACUUACGAGUCAAAGCAGCAAUGCGCUUGGAGAGGAGUUCGCGGCAGAUUAGUUAGUUGGCGGGGUAAUGGCCCACCAAGACGAUGAUCUGUAUCCGGCCUGAGAGGGCGCACGGACACACUGGAACUGAAACACGGUCCAGACUCCUACGGAGGCAGCAGUGGGGAAUCUUGCGCAAUGGGCGAAAGCCUGACGCAGCAACGCCGCGUGGAGACGAAGGCUUUCUGAGUUGUAAACUCCUUUCAGCAGGGACGAUUGUGACGGUACCUGCAGAAGAAGCACCGGCCAACUACGUGCCAGCAGCCGCGGU